rnacentral:siRNA from 1 species
CGAAUGAAUAGAGCGCCACUUGUC